CCUCAAAACAGAAAGAGACAGACAUGAAACGCGGCGGCAAUAAUGUCAGUAGAUGACGAAAAGGAGCAAGAGGCAGAUCUCUUAGAAUUCAGUUUUAAGCCAGCAUUGAUUUGUGGCAAAUGCACCGUGAUAAUGUUGUAAUCAACAGCUUUCUGGAAGAGAGGCUUCGACAGAUUUCUAGAAGCUAGAGAGCAUGUGGGUAGGUGCUAGAAGUUCAAGCCGCACUCUAGCUUUGCAUGAAUAUCGGGACAUGAAGGAGGAUGUGUCAAUCUCAUUGUACACAAGUCUGAGAAAGCCAGGAUUGAGAUGGAAGGUCGAAAACACGCUGACUGACUGAGCAGCUCCCUGUGCAGAGUAAUCCUGGUUGUCAACUUGACUGAUCUGGAGUCAACUAAGAGACAAGCAGCUGGUCACUCUACUGAGGGAUUUUCAUGAACAAAUAUCUCAAGAAGGAAGUGUACCAAACAUGUGGGCAGAACCCAUGCAGAAGGAAGGUUUGGCUUUCUGCCUAUUAGCAAGUACACCUAUCCUGUUCCUGCCAUCGCUGCAUUGCUUCCCUCAUAUGAGACCAGCUUCUUCAGGCUGCCAGCAUGGUUCGGAGG